UACGUAGGUGACAAGCGUUGUCCGGAUUUACUGGGCGUAAAGAGCGCGCAGGCGGUCGUUCAAGUCGAGUGUGAAAGCCCCCGGCUCAACUGGGGAGGGUCACUCGAUACUGAUCGACUCGAAGGCAGGAGAGGGAAGUGGAAUUCCUGGUGUAGCGGUGAAAUGCGCAGAUAUCAGGAGGAACACCCGUGGCGAAAGCGGCUCUCUGGGACGGUACUGACGCUGAGACGCGAAAGCGUGGGGAGCAAACAGG
rnacentral:rRNA from 1 species